UGAGGACUGGAAGUGCCAGUACCUGCUCCUGUCACAUGAAGGGAAGGCCCUAGAGCUACCUCUAAGAGGGAGACUUCAGAACAAGGAGGCAGUCAUUCUUUCACCAUCUUAAGGAUGGUGCAAUUUGAGGUUGAGAAAAUUUAAGCCAUAAGUUGAUUUGAUCACCAGUGUGAUUUUGGGUUCCUUACUCCUUUCAUCAUAUUGUGUCAAGGAUUUAAAGGAGACAAGACUCCAGAUAAGCCUCCUCUGCUAUUUUGUGUGCAUGGCAGAAUAUGGUCACCCUGCCUCAGCAUCAGUCUUCCCUCAAGCUACAGAGCCACCAACCUGUGUUCUGGUUCCUCAAGUCCAUGUUUGUGGAAGAGAAAUGUGAUUGUCCCAACUGAGGUUUAGCACCUGCUCUGGCCCUUCAGCUGUCACAUUCUG